AGAGUUCGAUCCGGGCUCAGAAUGAACGUUGGCGGCGUGGAUUAGGCAUGCAAGUCGAGCGGCAAGGUUGUUUUCGGAUGACCCUAGAGCGGCGGAAGGGAUAGGAAUUUAUAGGUAACAUGCCUCUUAGGUCUGGAUAGCGUCUGGAAACGGACGAUAAUACAGGAUGAGGUCUUCGGACCAAAGGUGGGAUUCCCCUAGGAGAUUGGCCUAUAACCUAUUAGCUAGUUGGUAGGGUAACGGCUUACCAAGGCGAUGAUGGGUACGGGGCGUGAGAGCGUGACCCCGAUCACUGGGACUGAGACACUGCCCAGACGCCUACGGGCGGCUGCAGUCGAGAAUCUUCGGCAAUGGACGGAAGUCUGACCGAGCGACGCCGCGUGUAUGAUGAAGGUCUUCGGAUUGUAAAAUACUGUCGAUAGGGCGGAAAUUUAGGAGGGCUAUCCCUCUUAUUUGACCUAUCUUUUGAGGAAGGACGGGCUAAGUUCGUGCCAGCAGCCGCGGUAAGACGAACUGUUCUAACGUUAUUCGGAAUCACUGGGCUUAAAGGGCGCGUAGGCUGUCUGUUAAGCGGGGUCUGAAAUCCCUCGGCUCAACCGAGGAACUGGGCUUCGAACUGGCAGACUAGAGUGAAGUAGGGGUAAGCGGAACUUGCGGUGGAGCGGUGAAAUGCUUUGAUAUCGCAAGGAACACCGGCGGCGAAGGCGGCUUACUGGGCUUCAACUGACGCUUAAGCGCGAAAGCUAGGGUAGCGAACGGGAUUAGAUACCCCGGUAGUCCUAGCCGUAAACUAUGAGCGUUGGUUUGAGGGAGGUUUUUUUUUUUUCGAGCGUAGCGAAAGUUUUAAGCGCUCCGCCUGGGGAGUAGGGUCGCAAGGCUGAAACUCAAAGGAAUUGACGGGGGCUCACACAAGCGGUGGAGGAUGUGGCUUAAUUCGAUGCUCCGCGAAGAACCUUACCUGGGUUUGACAUAACAGUGGUAGAGAAGUGAAAACGGAUCGACCCUUCGGGGAGCUGUUACAGGUGUUGCAUGCCUGUCGUCAGCUCGUGUCGUGAGAUGUUCGGUUAAGUCCGCUAACGAGCGCAACCCGCGCUGUGUGUUACAAG
rnacentral:rRNA from 1 species